GACAGAGGGUGCAAACGUUGUUCGGAUUUACUGGGCGUAAAGCGCGUGUAGGCGGCUUGGCAAGUUGGAUGUGAAAUCCCACGGCUCAACCGUGGACGUGCAUCCAAAACUGCUUCGCUAGAGUCUCGGAGAGGAAGGUGGAAUGCUUGGUGUAGAGGUGAAAUUCGUAGAUAUCAAGCAGAACACCUGCGGCGAAGGCGGCCUUCUGGACGAUGACUGACGCUGAGACGCGAAAGCGUGGGGAGCAAACAGG
rnacentral:rRNA from 1 species